rnacentral:rRNA from 1 species
UACGUAGGGGGCAAGCGUUGUCCGGAUUUACUGGGCGUAAAGAGCGUGUAGGCGCCAAGCAGGUCCGUUGUGAAAACUGGAGGCUUAACCUCCAGACGUCGACGGAAACCGCGUGGCUAGAGUCCGGAAGAGGAGAGUGGAAUUCCAGGUGUAGCGGUGAAAUGCGUAGAUAUCUGGAGGAAUACCGGUGGCGAAGGCGGCAUCCUGGACCGAGAUUGACACUGAUGAGCGAAAGCUAGGGGAGCAAACGGGAGUUAGAAAACCCU